GAUGAACGCUAGCGGGAGGCCUAACACAUGCAAGCCGAGCGGUAUUGUUUCUCCGGAAAUGAGAGAGCGGCGUACGGGUGCGUAACACGUGUGCAACCUGCCUUUAUCUGGGGGAUAGCCUUUCGAAAGGAAGAUUAAUACUCCAUAAUAUAUUGAACGGCAUCGUUUAAUAUUGAAAGCUCCGGCGGAUAGAGAUGGGCACGCGCAAGAUUAGCUAGUUGGUGAGGUAGCGGCUCACCAAGGCGAUGAUCUUUAGGGGGCCUGAGAGGGUGGUCCCCCACACUUGUACUGAGACACGGACCAGACUCCUACGAGAGGCAGCAGUGAGGAAUAUUGGUCAAUGGGUGCAAGCCUGAACCAGCCAUCCCGCGUGAAGGACGACUGCCCUAUGGGUUGUAAACUUCUUUUGUAUAGGGAUAAACCUACCCUCGUGAGGGUAGCUGAAGGUACUAUACGAAUAAGCACCGGCUAACUCCGUGCCAGCCGCCGCAGUAA
rnacentral:rRNA from 1 species